UAAUUGGGAAACUCAUCAAAUUUAAAAGAAAUACCGAGACACUCUUGUCUGUCGAUGGCGGGCCCCACGCCGCAAGGCGUUGAUUUCGAUCACAGGCGGAUUACAAAGAUUGGCAAGACCUCAAAACCUGUCAUUCGGAGUUUCGUCACAUUC
rnacentral:sRNA from 1 species